rnacentral:rRNA from 1 species
CAAAAACAUCUCUUCUUGUUAAGUUUUUGAAGUAUGGCCUGCCCACUGAUGGAUUUGAAGGGCCGCGGUAUCUUGACCGUGCAAAGGUAGCAUAAUCAUUAGUCCUUUAAUUGUGGACUGGAAUGAAUGGUUUGACGAGGUGCUAUCUGUCUUUGAAAUAUUUAUGUCGUUGAAUUUGGUGUUUGGGUAAAAAUACCUAGAUUUAUUUAUGGGACGAGAAGACCCUAUAGAGUUUAAUAUUAUUGGCUUUUGGUUAUGUUUGUCUCAUUUUGUUUAUGCUAAUAUUAUUUUGUUGGGGUGAUGGGAAGAUAAAGAUAACUCUUCCUUUGAAUUGUUUCAUUUAUUUGUGUAUUUUUGAUCCUUUAUUAUUGAUUGUAAGAUUAAAUUACCUUAGGGAUAACAGCGUAAUCUUUCCUGAGAGUUCCUAUUGACGGGAGGGUUUGCGACCUCGAUGUUGGAUUAAGGUGAAUUUUUGGUGUAGAAGCUUAAGAAUAUA